rnacentral:rRNA from 1 species
AUUGAACGCUGGCGGCAUGCCUUACACAUGCAAGUCGAGCGGCAGCGCGGGGGCAACCCUGGCGGCGAGCGGCGAACGGGUGAGUAAUGCAUCGGAACGUGUCCUCUUGUGGGGGAUAACCAGUCGAAAGACUGGCUAAUACCGCAUGAGAUCGCAAGAUGAAAGCAGGGGACCCGCAAGGGCCUUGCGCGAGAGGAGCGGCCGAUGCCUGAUUAGCUAGUUGGUGGGGUAAAAGCCUACCAAGGCGACGAUCAGUAGCUGGUCUGAGAGGACGACCAGGCACACUGGGACUGAGACACGGCCCAGACUCCUACGGGAGGCAGCAGUUGGGAAUUUUGGACAAUGGGGGCAACCCUGAUCCAGCCAUGCCGCGUGUGUGAAGAAGGCCUUCGGGUUGUAAAGCACUUUCGGCCGGAACGAAAUCGCGCGGGUGAACAUCCCGCGUGGAUGACGGUACCGGAAGAAGAAGCACCGGCUAACUACGUGCCAGCCGCCGCAGUAA